UUUUUAAAUUUCCAUCUAUUUUUUCUAUUAAAAACUAGCGUGACUGAUGAAAUAAUCAGACAAUUACAUGUGGCUUGGCAUUGUUCCUUAUGUUGACGUAUAAAGAUCAGUUUUUAAUAAUGGAUGAAAGUUUUAAUA
rfam:Gossypium raimondii Chr06_contig_243, whole genome shotgun sequence.